rnacentral:lncRNA from 1 species
UCUCAACUAGGACAAAGUCCAGCACAUAGUAAUCGCUAUGUGUUUACUAUGAUGAUUUUUAUCAUCUUCGUCUAACAGCAACAACAACAAAAAGGCCAGAGGCAUCUGUGCAAAGCUCGAUAAUGCUAAUGGAUUAUGUUUAUUAAGCACUCACUGUGUAUUUGGUUUUGCGUUUUAUUAUACCUACGUUCUUUCAUUUGUUAUCAAGGUCUCUAUGAAGUCAGAGCUAUUACUAUCAGCAUUUUACCCAUGAAGAAACCGAGGUUUAGAGAGAUUCUUUUCCAGGAACUGGAUAGCCAGCAAGAUGUGAAGCAGAGUAAUCUGUCUCCUGAGUCUAUGCUCUUCAGUGCCACCACUGUUUCCCCAAAUGAAGAAACUAAGACUCAGAGAAGACAAAUGACGUGCCCAAAGACACAUUGAUAAGAACGCAUCUGGUAGUGGUGUUCGAGUCCAGCGUUGCAGCAGAGAGAUGGGUAACUGUAUGGCCGAACUGCUGUCCUCUUGUGGAAGAAGGAGACCAAUGUCCAGGAGUGGCAGGCAUACUGGAACUUGGACUUCUGUAGGCCAACCUGGGUUCCACUUGGUAGAUGGGGGUCUUGCUGUGUUGCCCAGGCUGGUCUCAAACUCCUGGCCUGAAGCAGUCCUCCUCCCUUAGCCUCCAGAGUAGCUGGGACUACAAGUCCACACCACUGCAACCCCUCAGUGGUUGUUAUUUAACUGAAGGGGGUUUUAGCUUUCAUGUAUCAGCUCACUCUGGAGCCAGACAGCCUGGCCUUCAUGGCAGCUCUGCCCCUUACUACCUGUGUGACAUUGGGCAACGUUACUGAGUGUCAGAUUUCUUCUUUGUAAAACAGGGAUAAAAAUGACAUUGCUGUGCAAAUUAAAAGAAAGAAUCCAUGUGAGAAAUUUAGCACACUGGCA